UCUCGGCAGCCAGUUCAAGAACGUCCCAUCUCAAAAACCUUUUAAAAACGCUCUAUUUCAUAAUUGAAAAACUCCGUUUCUCAGAAUUUGAUUGAAGAAUGCCAUAUUUCAUAAUUCGGUGGAGAUACAGCGGAAAACUUUAGAAACAGAAAAUGUUAUUUCUCUAUAAACGUCCAAGCUAUGUGCAACGCAAGACUAAAAUUUCAAAAUAUAGUUGCGAGAUGGCCAGGAUCUACCCAUGAUAGCAUGAUAUUUUUGAAUUCAGCGGCUAAAUGGCAUUUCGACAACAACAAUUUCAACAAUGGUAUAAUUCUUGCAGAUAGCGGGUACUUCUUAAAUAAUUAUUUAAUUACACCUCUUACGGCGCCACAAUCUCCAGCCCAGCGCCUCUACAAUGAAUCCCAAAUAAGGACAAGGAAUGUGAUAGAACGUUGCUUUGGAGUAUGGAAGAGACCGUUCCCAGUGCUAAGCAUCGGCAUGAGGUGUAAAUUACCAUUAGUACAAGACAUAAUUGUGGCAUCGGCAAUAAUACACAAUCUAGCAAUCGAAAUGCAUGAAGAGGAGCCGCCAGUUGACCCCGAAGUAAAUGUUCAGGUGGAACUAACUUGCCAAAAUAUGGAGUUCGUAAUUUCAGAUGAUAGUGAUACACGAAACUCAUUGUUAGAAUAUUUCGAGUCAUUAAUUAGACUUUGAGUUUAUUAAAUAAAUAGUAUGUACAUACAUAUGUAUGCAAAUUUUCA
rnacentral:misc_RNA from 1 species